GUCACAUUUCUGGUGAGCCAAUGGCUGUAAUGGGGUUGGACUAAUUAGAGGCAGGUGUAAUUGAUUGCACUGAUACGCUAGUUUGUUUAUAGUUCACACUACAAACACUGCUUUGUUAUUUUGUCUCUCUGUGCAGGCCAGGGCCUAUUUUAUGUCACACCCUGAAGGCAGCUGAGUUGCAGAGGCUGGAAUGACCACUGGCUAUCUACUUACAGGGUGGUCGGUCUCAGAGGACAACUGCUAACCCUGUUGAAGUCAACGUGUGGAGUGCAACUGGCGUAGUGGCAUAGCUGGCUCUGGCCUUGGACUGUGUGUUUUUACUUAAUCCGCAUAUGAGACACUGGACUGUUUUAUCUUUUAUCUUUUGAUUAUUGUGUUAAUAAAUUACCUUUUAGAAUUUUA